UUUCUACUCUAUAAAUAGUCGCCCACUGGGACAUUAACUCUCCCACACUCCCAGGUUGCAUAUAAGUGGCCAUAUUGGUUCCCACAAGUGUCCUGUUACAGAGAAGCUCAGGACAGAAAGCAAAAAGAUCACUGGUACAGCUAAUGGGAGGUGCUGUCUGGUCACAUCUGUACAAAGCUGCUUGCCUCAGCAAUGAUUAAAUCAAAAGAUGAACUGAAAGAAUAGAAAAAAACCCUGCAUGGCACAGUUAAUGGCAGCUACCUGCAAACCAAGGAGAGCAGUCUCAGAAGAAUUCGAACUUGUUGACAUCCUGAUCUUGGACAAUUAGCCUCCGGAAUGGUCAUGAUACUAAUGGAAAACUUCAGCCUCUCUAGCUGAAUUGAAGCCCUCUGUAUUCUACCCCCAAGAAAAAGCAGCGCUGAUGGAGGUCAUGGUGAAGAAUAUUAUUAGGUCAUGGCGUUGAGAGGCUUCCAAAUUUCCUCACUUUCAUUGCUUCACCUGUGCUGGGAAGAAAAGCUGUAACUUUUGCUAUGUUCCUAAGAGAAGGUAUGCAUGCUCUCACUAAUGUGACAGGUGACCAACAGGCCACACUUUCUCUUUUUCCAGUAUGCUCCUGAGUUCAUCUUUCUUUUAAAGCAGUGCUGACCAAGUUGAGAAAUCACAGUUUACUGCAUUGCUGCAGGAGCUGUAUAUAUGGACGUGAAGCACAUAUUAGUGCUAGGGGCAGUCAAGUACAAAGAGCACUAUAACACAGAGAGUACUCAGUGCUAUAAUAGAACAAAGAGCAAAGUCAUCCAGGAACAACACAUGAUAAAGAAACCAAGAGCAGAAUGGUUAAGUACCUUACAACCCCCCAUUUAAAUUACAGAUGAAGAAAACUUCUAAAAGCUAAGAAAGUCACUCAAACCAAUAAACAAAACAGAAUUAAGAUUUA